ACAGCAGUCGCCACGGUAAUACGGAGGGGGCUAGCGUUGUUCGGAAUUACUGGGCGUAAAGCGCACGUAGGCGGCUUGGUAAGUUAGAGGUGAAAGCCUGGAGCUCAACUCCAGAAUUGCCUUUAAGACUGCCGAGCUAGUAGGUGAGAGAGGUAAGUGGAAUUCCGAGUGUAGAGGUGAAAUUCGUAGAUAUUCGGAAGAACACCAGUGGCGAAGGCGGCUUACUGGCUCAUUCUAGACGCUGAGGUGCGAAAGCGUGGGGAGCAAACAGGAUUAGAUACCCGCGUAGUCCCUGUCUCUUAUAC
rnacentral:rRNA from 1 species